AUGCUUGUUAUCGCAGCUUUUAUACCAAAAUUGGAAUGAUGCAGAGAUGAUUACCAUUGCCCUUGUGCCAGGAUGGCAUGCAGAUUCUCAAAACAUUCAACAUUAAG